rnacentral:tRNA from 1 species
GUCUGGGUUGCUCAGUUGGUUGGAGCAUCGUCCUGUACACCACAAAGUUUUGGGUUAGAACCCCAGCCAGGACA